CAUAUUGAAACACCCGCUCUCGUACGAUCACCGAAGUUAAGCAACGUUUAGUUUGGUCAGUACCUAGCUGGGUAACCGCUUGGGAAUGUCUGGUGUUGUAA
rnacentral:rRNA from 1 species